rnacentral:misc_RNA from 1 species
CAGCAUGCAGCAUUACUGGAGAGACAGUGGCCAAUAGAGGAUACCGACAGUAAAUCUGAGGCCCAGGGUAACCCAUUGUUUAGGCAGUUCCCUCGUAAAGUCAGCAUUCUUAACAUGCCUCUGAUUACAACUCUGUACUACUGCUGCUUCUACCACGGACGGGAUGCCGAGAAUCUAUUGACUUCACCUUUUGCUAUAAAGAAACAACACCAGUUAUCAGACAAACAGUAUGUGUGGACAGCUCUCUCAGCAAGGUCAAGGUUAAAACAGUGGACUGGAAUAGAGGAACUCCUCACAGCCAAAGGUUGGUUUGGAAGCACCAAGAAAGUUUCAGUGAUUGGUUUUGACAAAGUGUGUGAAAUUCUUCACCGUACAUCAGCCCCAGAGGAGAUUUUGUCCAAGUAUCUGAGAAUGAUUGAUGGUUCGGAGAGACGGUUGAACAUCGCAAGGAAAUACAAAUGCCACGAAGUCGUAGUGGAGACUCUGGUAUAUCUGAGAGAUAGACAUGAGCUACAGGUAUAUGCCAGUAAACUACCCCCGGGGUCCCUGGGACUGAGAAAUGCUCAGGAUGCACUCCGAUCCUCUACAAUAAAGUGGAAGACCUGAAGAAAAGAAUAAUGGAGUCAGUAGGAACUAUAGAAAACCAAAGCAACUGUGAUAGCAGAGAGUGGACAAAUAGUGCAUACGAGAGGCUCAUUUUAAACCAUUUUGUACUGGACAUGAAAAAACAUAUAUUUACCCUAAUAACCAGACAAAAUCAGGAAUUUUAGUGAUUAAACAAUAAUCUACAUGUACAUGCAGUACUUUUACCAACAAAAUGAUGUAAAAUCUUUGCAUGUUUGAUAUCUUUUAGCCCUGAGAAUUAAAAUUGGUUGUUAAUGCUGGCAUUAGUGAUGAUACAAACGUAAUGAACUACAAAUAUUUACCCCUCAUGUUAUGUAAAUACAUUUACGUGAACAUAUCUAACUUGUAACACACAUGUAUCUUUGGUUAUUAAUGUGAAAUUUGGAAUUGUUAACCAACUGAGACAUUUCAAAUUACAUGUUUGUUUAUUUAUUUUGUUAACAAAUUGUUAUCUUUUUUAUAUGGUAUGUUAUUUAUGUAUAAAUACAUUCU